rnacentral:rRNA from 1 species
AGCUCCAAUAGCGUAUACUAAUGUUGUUGCAGUUAAAAAGCUCGUAGUCGGAUUUCAGUUUAUUGAUUGACUCCUAUGUGGGUUUUAUCAAUUUACUUCAUUGAUACGAACCUAUAUCUGAUUUAUUUCCGGUGUAGACUAGUAUCUCUUUUACUUUGAGAAAAUUAGAGUGUUCAAAGCAGGUUAUCGCCUGAAUAUUACUCUUGGAAUAAUACUAUAGGACUUUGGUUCUAAUCUGUUGGUGUAUUGGGACCGGAGUAAUGAUUGAUAGGGACGGUUGGGGUGAUUCAUACUGCAAAGCGAGAGGUGAAAUUCUUGGACCUUUGUAUGAUGAACAACUGCGAAAGCAUUUCACUAGGACGUUCCCG